rnacentral:rRNA from 1 species
UGAGGAAUAUUGCGCAAUGGGGGAAACCCUGACGCAGCGAUGCCGCGUGGGUGAAGAAGGCCUUCGGGUCGUAAAGCCCUGUCAAGCGGGAAGAAUAGCGGCGGGACGAAUAAGCCCGUCGUGUGACGGUACCGCUGAAGGAAGCACCGGCUAACUCCGUGCCAGCAGCCGCGGUAAGACGGAGGGUGCGAGCGUUAUUCGGAAUUAUUGGGCGUAAAGAGCGUGUAGGCGGUCGGUCAAGUCAGAUGUGAAAGCCCGGGGCUCAACCUCGGAAGUGCAUUUGAAACUGGUCGACUUGAGUUCGGGAGAGGGAAGUGGAAUUCCGGGUGUAGAGGUGAAAUUCGUAGAUAUCCGGAGGAACACCGGUGGCGAAGGCGACUUCCUGGACCGAAACUGACGC